rnacentral:RNase_P_RNA from 1 species
CAACGUGGGCGGACAGCCGCGGUGAGCAAUCGCUGAGGAAAGUCCGGACUCCGUAGGGCAAUGGUGCUGGGUAACACCCAGGCGGGGCGACCCGAUGGACAGUGCAACAGAGAGCAGACCGCCGAUGGCACAGAACCUUUGGUUCCGUUUACGGAGCUGCGGGCGAUGUGCACAGGCAAGGGUGAAACGGUGGUGUAAGAGACCACCAGCGAUGCGGGUGACUGCAUCGGCUCGGUAAACCCCACCAGGAGCAAGGCCAAGCAGGAACAGGGCUGCCCGUCCGUUAUGUUCCAGGUAGGCCGCAUGAGCUCGUCCAGCAAUGGCGGGCCCAGAUAGAUGGCUGUACGACGACAGAAUCCGGCUUAUAGCCCGCGUUGCAGU